rnacentral:rRNA from 1 species
UACGUAGGGCGCAAGCGUUGUCCGGAAUUAUUGGGCGUAAAGAGCUCGUAGGUGGCUUGUCACGUCGGGUGUGAAAGCUUGGGGCUUAACUCCAGGUCUGCAUUCGAUACGGGCUGGCUAGAGGUAGGUAGGGGAGAACGGAAUUCCUGGUGUAGCGGUGAAAUGCGCAGAUAUUAGGAGGAACACCGGUGGCGAAGGCGGUUCUCUGGGCCUUACCUGACGCUGAGGAGCGAAAGCGUGGGGAGCGAACAGG